UAACGCAAAAUUAUAGAUUGAAUGAAAUGGUUGCAUAGAAUUCUUACAAACGUUUAUUUUUCCGAAAUGAUUAAGUGACGACACGAAUUCAAUGGCGCGAUUGCCAAACUACAGCUUCUUAUGAUUAUAACCGGUGAUAUCUUCGUCUUUUCUCGUUGUUUAUAUAAUUCUAUCGCUCAUUUGCUAAGUACUGUUGUUACUGUAUUAUUUUAUUUAUUUUGUGAUUUUCAUAAAGAGUCUCAUUGACUGAAGCUGAAAAAUACGUACAUAUCAUUUAAUAUUAGUUUAGUGACAAUAACCUAAAUGGAUUCAAAAAGUAAUGACGAAGAUUUUAAUGCGUGUAUAAAGGAAAAAGCGCCAUGGUACAAAUACAUAACGGUGGAACCUCCAAUGUUUCUAUAUAUGAUGGCCUAUAUGAUCACAUCAGUAAUAGAACAAACUUUCUAUGUAUAUCAAGCCUGUACUGUAAACCAUGGAUAUAGCAGUGAAAUCUGUUACAAUAUAAGCAAUAACGAAGAGGUAAAUCGAGAAGUUCAGGUAACAGUUUCAACAUUUCACCAAUGGAAUGGUAUAGCCAGUCAUGUGGUACCUCUAAUACUCGCAUUUUUUUUGGGCUCAUACAGCGAUAAACGUGGUCGAAAGUUUAUUUUGCUAGCGGGAUUAGUUGGUAAACUAUAUUUUUCAGCUACUAUAACGCUAAAUGCAUUAAAAGCAUGGCCGGUGGAAUACGUUAUUUACACAGCAGCAUUCCCGAGUGCACUUACAGGUGCUGAUUUAGCAAUAUUUGCUGGAUGUUUUUCAUACCUCGCUGAUGUCACUUCGGUGAAAAAUAGAACACUUAGAGUGGGCAUAUUGGACGUCGUUUACCUAAGCACUAUGCCUACAGGUGUUGCUAUUGGAAAUCUUCUGUACAAGUAUGUGGUCAAUCGAUCAUUUACUGUUAUGUUUGCUAUCAACACUAGUCUCAUGGUUUGCGCGACAUUGUAUUGUUUAUUUUUCUUGGAAUGGCAGACGAGGCCCGAGCAAAAAUCUCUUAGAGAAGCUAAUGUAAAAAAUAUUGUAAAAGAUUUCUUUGAUUUUAACAACAUCAAACAAACGUUAAUAACUUUAACCAAGAAAAGGCAUAAUAACAGAAGGCUAUAUUUGUGGUUUCUUUUACUUUCUAUGGCCUUCUAUACAUUUCAAAGAGAUGAGCGUCCUGUGAUGUAUUUGUACGCAUCCAAAGUAUUCAAAUGGGAUGCAACAAACUUCAGUAACUUUCGCACCUACCUCAGCGCCGCAUAUGUGUUAGCUAUGCUGUUUGGUAUACCGAUUAUGACUAAACUGUUCAAGUGGAGAGACACUGUAAUAUACAUUUCAAUAUACUCAUGUAACUUUAUACUAGCGCAGUUUAAGCUGUUUACUUCGAGUCUGACUGCAAAAUACGUUUCACGACGCCAUGAUUAUUAUAUGUGGCAAACAGAAUGGCGGUUCGUUUAUUGAAAACUGAUAAAAUGGACAACACUACUUACACAGUGUUUUUUAUGAUGUCUCUCCUUAUACGUAAUUAGUUCUUGCUCCGAAUUAUGUUUUAAUUAUUCCGUUGUUUCGCCCCCUUUUAUUAUUCCCUCGAAAAUUGAGAAUACACUUGACGUGCAUGUUUAACCUACAGCCAAUGCAGGUAAUAAUAAUGCUUGGAGCAACAGCUCAUAUAUGUGGACACUUGGCAUACGCUCAUGCUACUUCAGGCAAAUUGAUGUAUGUGGGAGCUACUAUAGCUGCAUUGGGACCCUGCGUAGCGCCUCUUAUACG
rnacentral:misc_RNA from 1 species